UACAGAGGGUGCGAGCGUUAUUCGGAAUUACUGGGCGUAAAGCGCGCGUAGGCGGCUUUGCAAGUCGGGUGUGAAAUCCCCAGGCUUAACCUGGGAACUGCAUUCGAUACUGCCGUGCUUGAGGACUGGAGAGGAGACUGGAAUUUACGGUGUAGCGGUGAAAUGCGUAGAUAUCGUAAGGAAGACCAGUGGCGAAGGCGGGUCUCUGGACAGUUCCUGACGCUGAGGCACGAAGGUCAGGGGAGCAAACGGG
rnacentral:rRNA from 1 species